AAGAAAGUGACUGCCGCCCCGCACAGGGGCGAGCUAAUAGACCAAAGACAAAACAAGUCUCAUAGGAGCACAAGCGCAUCAAACGGCGUAAACCCCACAACCUCGAGCGCUAG
rnacentral:sRNA from 1 species